ACGGAAGGCAGCAGUGAGGAAUAUUGGUCAAUGGGCGGAAGCCUGAACCAGCCAUGCCGCGUGAAGGAUUAAGGCCCUAUGGGUCGUAAACUUCUUUUGAGUGGGAGCAAUAAGCGCUACGUGUAGCGCGAUGAGAGUACCAUUCGAAUAAGCAUCGGCUAACUCCGUGCCAGCAGCCGCGGUAAUACGGAGGAUGCGAGCGUUAUCCGGAUUUAUUGGGUUUAAAGGGUGCGCAGGCGGCACGUUAAGUCAGCGGUGAAAUGCAGGGGCUCAACCCCGGCACUGCCGUUGAAACUGGCGAGCUCGAGUACGGAUGAAGUCGGCGGAAUGUGAUGUGUAGCGGUGAAAUGCUUAGAUAUGUCACAGAACACCGAUUGCGAAGGCAGCUGACUAAUCCGCAACUGACGCUCAGGCACGAAAGCGUGGGGAUCGAACAGGAUUAGAUACCCUGGUA
rnacentral:rRNA from 1 species